AAUCAGGCCUUUGUGCGUAGUCAGCGUGUAUUUCUCUUCAGAUUAGAGACAAAUAAGAUGCAGCCGUGGGGUGAGGCCUGCCGGGCUGCCCGCACCCUCCAGCUGCUGGAGGACGUGGGGCAUCCCUCCCGGGCCCAGGAAGAGGCUGGUGCCCACCUACGACGACGAGAUGGGCCAGAGCACGGGGGUACUGGCUCCUUCCUGUCCUCACCCACACAAGGAGUCGGGAAAGGCAAGGGCUUCAAAGCCUUUGGUGUAAAUGCAAUCCACCCCGGUUUCCUCCUCAAGCAUUUCGGGGCCCCAGCCCCCGCCUCUGAAAAAUAACUGAUGUUGGAUGAGCAACCCUGCAGAGAAGGGCAGGGUGGUGAGGCAAUCAGGGAAGCAGGGGGGCGUAAAUUGGCCAAGUCAUCCUUGGGCUCAAGGAGCUGCUGGAUGGAGCCUCUGCCCCGGGAUGGAGGCCCGGGCCCUGGGGGUGCCCGGGGCUCCUGGGGCCCCGCUGCCGCCUCCCUGGGCUGGCCCCUGUGCUUGGGGUUUCAGGGCCACCCCACCCUGUCAUUGCCGUCCCACGCCCCUCCCCACCCCAUCCACUGGCUGGGAGGCAGAGGGCGCACAGGGCCCUCAGGGCGCGCAGGGCCCGGCUUCCUUGUAGGCUGGGGAGCCAUCUGACCCACGAGUAUUUUUUUUUUUAAUUUAUUUAUGAUAGGCACACAGUGAGAGAGAGAGAGGCAGAGACACAGGCAGAGGGAGAAGCAGGCUCCAUGCACCGGGAGCCCGACGUGGGAUUCGAUCCCGAGUCUCCAGGAUCGCGCCCUGGGCCAAAGGCAGGCGCUAAACCGCUGCGCCACCCAGGGAUCCCCCACGAGUAUUUUCAAGUAUGACUGACAUCACUUUCUGGAGCCCCAAGUCCUCUUUAGAGAUCAUGUCCUAACGAAGGAAGCUGGGGAUGCGGUCAGAUCACGCUGGUGGCCACCUGGCACGUCUUCUGGGAGCCACGGGACACGCCGGUCCUCCAGACACACACCAGCCCCACAGAACUGCAGGGGCUCUCACUGUGACAUUUUGCCACCAGAGAUUCUGCAGCCUGGAAGUGCCGAAAUAUUUCAUAAAAACUCCCGAGUUCCAGGUUUAUGUAUUGUCUGUUGUGAUUUUAACUGCGGAUGUGCUUUUGAAAAAAAAAAGGCAAAUAUUUGAAACCCAAGAGAUGGGGAUUCUGAAACCAAAGGGAGAAAGGGAAAGGAUGGGGAGGAUGGAGGCUGUGAAAUGCUCAGAAUUCAUCCAAAGUUGGGGGUUUAUUCUCAUCUAGAAAACUGCAGGGAAACGAGAAGAGAUUUUUCCAUGUGGGGCCUUGGUCAUCUCCCGAGUGGAGGGAAGGGAGGUGACGGCAGCCCACCGGGCAGCAUGAGCCAGGAAGGAGAAGCACAUCCCGAAAGUACGUCUCCUCUGUUCUUGAUCCAAAGAGAUGACUCCUGAAAGAUGGAAUGUGUCUGGCAGGUUGUACCAGGAGGAGGGAGGGACAAUCUAUUGGAGAUUUUGGCUCCCACUGAUGAACCGGCGGUGGUACCACGGGAGUCAGGCAGUGGGGAGGAGCACCCAGGACUUCUGUAGUCACGGAGCCCACUUCCCUGACACGGGGCCUGGGGCCUGGGUGCCCCUCCCCUCUGCCUGACUCCAGUGGUACCUGCGGUGCCACACUUGUGGCUAAGCUGGUCCAUGCUGGGGCCAGAGGGGGUGAUGCCCAACAUCCCCCAGGAACCUAUCAUUUUCUAGGCGCUGCCGGAGUCUUUGCACACUUUACCUCGUUAAAUGCCUCUCACAGCCUUGUGGGGUAGAAAUAAUCACACCCAUUUUACAGAUGAAGAAAUCCACGGAGUUCUAGCGACGUUUCCAAGUUUGCAGCUCUGGCCGGGGGAGGUGCGGUCGUGGCCCCUGAGUGCAGGUAGGAGGCCCG
ensembl:lncRNA